rnacentral:sRNA from 1 species
AAAAACAGAUUUGAUCUUAUCGUUCCUUAAAAAAUUCUGCGUGACAUAUUUUACAAAAAAAACUUAUAUUUUAUUUCGCUCAUAGAAAAGUGAAUUAAAUCUACAAGCUGUGGAAAAACCUGUUGAAAAAGCCUCAAAAAGUGGAUAACUCUUUGGGAUCAAGGUAAAAACUGGGUUUUAAUGCUUAUUUUCUAAGUAUUAAUACUUCAUCAAUAAAUUAUUAAAUAUAGUUUAAUAAUCAAUUAAACUAACUGAAAUAACAAUG